rnacentral:rRNA from 1 species
AGCUAACGCAUUAAGUUCCCCGCCUGGGGAGUACGGCCGCAAGGUAAAACUCAAAGGAAUUGACGGGGACCCGCACAAGCGGGGGAGUUGGGAAUUAAUUCGAUGCAACGGAAGAACUUUACCAGGCUUUGCCAUAUACGAAAACGGGCCAGAAAUGGCCACCUCUUUGGACACUCGUAAACGGGUGGGGCUUGUUUGUCGCCAGCCCGUGUCGGGAAAUGUUGGGUUAAGUCCCGAAACGGGCGCAACCCUCGUUCUUUGUUGCCAGCCC